rnacentral:lncRNA from 1 species
GAUUGAAUAGAAAAUAAAAAUAUCGUAAAGAUAGAAGAAAAAGAAAAUUAUAUCCUGCUGUGAAAUAAGUUAUAUAAUGAGAGGAGUGAUUGUUUAAACUAAAAUAGUUUGUACGUCCAGCAUCAACUUACGGUCUUCAGGAGGCCAUUCCAAGCGUUUCCAAGUACGAACUGCGCGCUCAACCGGGUCCAACUCAAAAACCCUUGCACGACGAACGUAGCCACCAUGUCCUCCAUAUCCGCCAAACCCAGCACCUCCAGCAAAGCAAAAGUAUGUGUUAUAAUCUGGAUGGAUUCCACAGAAAUCAUUUACAUGGUCAUGUCCUGCAAUAGCAAGAGGAAUACGUAAACUUUUCAAAGCUUUCGCAGUAUUUGGAUCACAAAUGGAAUAAGAACAGGGCUCUCGAAAUGCACCAACAAGGUCUUCAGUCUCGCAAAACUCCUUCAGAGGGAUAUGCAAUACAGCCAUUUGAAUGGGCUCGUACUUGAAAUCCGCAACUUUACUAGAAAGCCACUCCAGUUGAUCCUCGGUAAUAGCAUCGUAUCCAGGGCAUAAUCUUCGAUUUGAAGUAUCUCCCUUUGUAUCUAAAACGUAAAUGGCAAACUUUCGGGGACUAUGUAAAACAAAGUUACCAACACCAGAGACAUUUCCAAUCAAACCCAUACUACCAGGAAUCUGACUCAAAAUUUUGGCAAGCUCUUCCCUCGAUAAAUCUCCCAAAUCAUCGUGAUUUCCGAAAUUUACAGCAAAUGGGACGUUGUAAUCAACAAAAGGGGACACCGCUUUCAUCAAAGAGCUUCUAGCGUCGCGUGACGUGUCGCCGUUAAUUAAGUCCCCAGUCAAAAGGACAAAGUCCGGUUCCUCUAACUGUAAUAAUUCAUUCACGAAAGCAGUAGUUUUUGCAUCGGCCAUACAAUCCUCUGCAGUCUCAUACGGAUAAGGAUCGCGACACGGUCUGUCAGAAUUUGAAUAGUGCAAAUCAGAAAGCUGAAGAAUCUUAAUUGUCUUUUUUUCUUCGUCAUCAUAAGUAAGGGUUACGGAUGAAAGCUCCUUUCUCUUAAGCGCUUCAAUAGAUGGCGUCGGAGGAGUUUCACAAGGUCUUUGCGUCAAUAGGACCGGCUGUCCUAAAUAAAUAAAGUCAUUUAGAACAGCAGACCAACCCUCUCGUAAUUCAACAACAUCCUCACCCAACAAUGUAUUAAAUUCGCAAAUAUCACCAUCCGUUCCAUAACGAAUUUGAAUACCGUGCUUGUUACGCUUUUCCAGCUGUCGAUCAACAUAUACCUGUUCAACUAAGACAGUCUCCCCAGGAAUAUACAGUGCUGGUCGUUUCACGUAAAGGUAGGCACGCUUCCAAGGAAUUCGGGAACGGUACAGAUUCCGACUAGUACGGGCCCAUUUCCAAAAUUCCAAAACGGGACGACAAAAGGGAGAAAAGGAAAAGCACUCGACCAGCCUUAUAUCUUCGAUUGGAGUGUUCAGUGAGAAGGGUCCCGACUUUGAGUCAGUGAUUUCAAUGGUGUUGAGCGAAUAAUCAACAGUCAAUAAUGCUAUGAAAGCCGCAACUAUGAAGAUUGCCCUUUUACGAAGGAAAUGAAUAAUGUUUCUCUUUGGUAGCAUCAUUUUGCUUAGUCUUUGAACACGAGAUUAGUAAUUGUAGGAAUGUAUUUUUAACCGAAAAACGUCCCGCGAGAACUUUUUCUUUUACGGAUCAAAUAUUUGACAAAGAAAAGCAAUAUUUAUAUAACAAAUGUGCUUCAAAUUAAAAGUUUUUAUGAAAAACCUGUAGAAUUGACUGAAUUCAUGAAAGCAAAAGGAUUAUGUGGAUAUUACGGUAAUGUUUACAUGGUAGAAGAAGGCUUUUCAAAUUAAGAUUCGAAUGCGGAGCACAAGAACGAAUCCGUUAUCUAUGCCUAGCGUAGUGCAGAAUACUCACUUAAGAAUCGCUUUCAAGAAACUUGCUUAUCAUAAUACUUGAAGUUGGAAAGAGCUCGGUAUGUGAAGAGAUGAGCUUAACGUAGUUUAGCAGGUUCUCAGUUAUUCUGAAUGUCUAUUAAAAUUCAGCAUUAUAGCGACUUUUCUUGUGAGUGAAAACAAACGUUAAAGCUAGAUGGCAUUUCGGAAGAAGAAAAUUGCAUGGAUAAGCUCUCAGAUACUCAUUGACAUUAAUAUUUUCAUCUCACUUAUUUUUUAAUUUCUAGCGGUGAGUGUUUAUAUGAGAGGUACGGCAGCUCUCAAAAUCUUAACAACCAUUUUGGAUUAUAUUUUAAGCUCUAACUUUUUGUUAAGUAUUAUUUUCUGAGAAAUUCUGCUUCAUACUGUAGUGGUACGAGAAAACUCGCAAAUGAAAACGAAUAUUUCAAGGUACUAUAAAUCUCGCUUAAUUCAAGCUUAAUUUGGCCGACAUUUCACAUGUUGUGGCCCAUGAAACAUGUGUCAAUAGUUGUAUAACUGUGUAAGGGUACUAUUGCGUUAGUUUCUUACCUGAUCUGAAAAGUUUUAAGCUGCCAGCAAGUCGAUAUAUAUAGAGGGUUUUGCGGAUCUUGUUUUUUUCCGGCAUAAUUAUUGUGCCGAACCACUAAGCCGAACCAAAGAGUAAUUAUCAUAACGCAAACUCUUUCAAAAUAAAGAACCCAUUUAUUCUUCAACUCAAAGUUCAAGCAGAAUACCUUGAAGCUUGAUAAUUAACAAAUUUCCAAGCUGAGACUCAUUCUUCGUUUAACUAAUCUCACAUGAUGUUUUCCUCAUUAUUUUGGUUUUGCAUAUUUUUUUGAAAACUCAUUAAGUGUAAGCUACGCAGUUUGGUAUCUGAUUUAAGGAUACGUAGAACUGCGGUGAGUUUUCCUUGUGAUCUAUUAUAUUACGAUACACAGGUUGUAUAAGUAGCAACUGAGUAUAGGUAUUGUAUUAACUGGGUUAUAAUGUUACCUAUCACUAA